rnacentral:misc_RNA from 1 species
GAACGCACAUUGCGCCCGCCAGUAUUCUGGCGGGCAUGCCUGUUCGAGCGUCAUUUCAACCAUCAAGCCCCCGGCUUGUGUUGGGGACCUGCGGCUGCCGCAGGCCCUGAAAACCAGUGGCGGGCUCGCUAGUCACUCCGAGCGUAGUAAUACAUCUCGCUCAGGGCGUGCUGCGGGUUCCGGCCGUUAAAAGCCUUAUUUACCCAAGGUUGACCUCGGAUCAGGUAGGAAGACCCGCUGAACUUAAG